UUCGCAAUGCCCGAAAGGGUGACGAAGCGACGCCGCGUGGGUGAGGAAGGCCUUCGGGUUGUAAAGCCCUGUCAGGAGUUAAGAAAUGUAAGUGCGCUAAUAUCGCAUUUAUUUGACGAAGGCUCCAAAGGAAGUCACGGCUAACUCUGUGCCAGCAGCCGCGGUAAUACAGAGGUGGCAAGCGUUGUUCGGAAUUAUUGGGCGUAAAGAGCACGUAGGUGGUUUUGUAAGUCAGGUGUGAAAGCCUUCUGUUCAAAGGAAGAACGGCAUCUGAAACUGCAGAUCUUGAGUGUAGGAGGGGAGAGUGGAACUUCUGGUGGAGCGGUGAAAUGCGUAGAUAUCAGAAGGAACGUCGGCGGCGAAAGCGACUCUCUGGCCUAUUACUGACACUGAGGUGCGAAAGUUAGGGGAGCAAACGGGAUUAGAUACCCCGGUAGUCCUAGCCGUAAACGAUGGGCACUAAGUAGAGGGGUUUU
rnacentral:rRNA from 2 species